rnacentral:rRNA from 1 species
UCGGCUUAUGCGACAGCUUUCUGGGGCCGGGAGGUGAUCCCAACGGCGGACCUGACAUGGAAAUCACGUGCUCCUAUGCAAUGCAGGUUUUUCACAUGGCUAGCCAUGAAGGGCAGAUGUUGGACCUCGGAUCGCUUUGCGCGCAGAGGCCUACCUCACCAGGCCGCAUGUCCUUUUUGUGAUCAAGAGGAGGAAACGAUCAAUCAUGUUCUACUCACAUGUGUUUUUGCUCGGACAGUUUGGGCAGCGAUCUUCGUUGCGUUGGGGACACCGAGUUGGAUUCCUACUGCCCAAGACUCGCUGGUGGAGUGGGCAGUCGACAAGCAUGGAUCGAACAACGUCAGCACGAAGGACCUUCGCACCAUCUUCGCGCUUACUUGGUGGGAGUUGUGGAAGCAUAGAAAUGCCAUUGUCUUCGAGGGCGUGCAUCCUUCGGUUGAGCAGUUACUAAGAAAGGUGUGCUCUGAGGGUUCCUCUUGGUCAACCGCUGGGUUAUUACGAGGAAAUGUAAUGCCCUUCUUCGCUAGGAUAGAGAGGUGGGUAAGUGAUGAGGAUUAG